rnacentral:rRNA from 1 species
AGUGAACGCUGGCGGUAGGCCUAACACAUGCAAGUCGAACGGCAGCACAGGAGAGCUUGCUCUCUGGGUGGCGAGUGGCGGACGGGUGAGGAAUACAUCGGAAUCUACUCUGUCGUGGGGGAUAACGUAGGGAAACCUACGCUAAUACCGCAUACGACCUACGGGUGAAAGCAGGGGACCUUCGGGCCUUGCGCGAUUGAAUGAGCCGAUGUCGGAUUAGCUAGUUGGCGGGGUAAAGGCCCACCAAGGCGACGAUCCGUAGCUGGUCUGAGAGGAUGAUAAGCCACACUGGAACUGAGACACGGUCCAGACUCCUACGGGAGGCAGCAGUGGGGAAUAUUGGACAAUGGGCGCAAGCCUGAUCCAGCCAUACCGCGUGGGUGAAGAAGGCCUUCGGGUUGUAAAGCCCUUUUGUUGGGAAAGAAAUCCAGCUGGCUAAUACCCGGUUGGGAUGACGGUACCCAAAGAAUAAGCACCGGCUAACUUCGUGCCAGCAGCCGCAGUAA